rnacentral:lncRNA from 10 species
AAUUCAACUCAACCAGGUGAAACUCUGGUGGCCAGGGCAGGUGGUACAGGACCAUCAAGCCUCCUGAGGAACACAGAGCAGUAAUGCUAAUCUCCAUUCUGCCUGGAAGAAAACUGGAGCCUGGAUGGAGAUGGUGACUUCCAAGCUUCCACCCCGAAGCUCAGCCCCAGCUGCUCUGCCCCCUGCCCACGUCCACGCAGGACACAGCUCCCACUGAUGGGCAAGUCUGGGCCAGGGUGACCUUCCCAGCACCCGUCAGCCCAUACAUGGUAUUACAGCCGCCUAUGCUUUCUGUCUCUCCUCACUCCCUACAUUGACCUCAUUGUCCCUCCCCAGCCUCCGCAGCCCAGGGGGUCUCCCUUCUCUGAGCUCCAGGCAUUCCUUCGCUCACUCACCCACUCGGUCAUCUACCCACUCCCCCAUCUGCCCUUCAUUCCUCUGCUCAGUCAUUCAUUCAGAACACAUGUCCUGAGGUCUGCUCUGGAGUGGACAAUGGUGCUGGGUGCUGGGAUCAGAGUGGGGUGAACCAGGCCUCCCCAGUCCCAAAGCAGAGCCCCAAAGAUACCUGCCUGGACUGUUCCUGAGGAGCCUCUGGCUUCACUGCCUAGACAGUGAGUCCCCCAGCACUGAGGCCUUGCUUAAUCCUUUCCUCCCGCUCUGCACCAGCCCUAGCUGGGGCUGGGGUUGCUGCCUCAUAGGCUCCAGGCCAGUCUGGUGAGCAGAAGUCCCUGCCCCUCACAACUCCCCAGGCGGGGUGACCACCCAGGCCAAGGCGAAACCCCCACGGGGAUAGACAAGGUCACCAUCUCCUAACCAAAGGUGACAUGGGGAAGCCCUAGCUCUGCCCCCAGAUCACAGUGUGUGCAGGAUUAAGUCACCAUAACCUCUCCAAGCCUCAGUUUCUCUACUAAAAAUUGGGUCUCAGGCCGGCUCUCUCAUCCUACAGAGGACGAAUGGGAGGAUGAGAAACUGGAAACUGAGUUCACCAAGGAUUGGUUGGAAGCAGAACCCUGAAGGAGGGCUUUCCCAGUGGAGAGGACCUUAGACUCUUCUAAGUCGCUUCUCUUCUCUGAGCCUCAGUUUCCUCAGCUACAAAAUGGGAGAGUAACACCAACUUUGCAGGGUUGUUGUGUGG